AUCCCGGCAUUGCAGGGACCAGUCUCGGAAGGCAGCCUGCAGGUAUCUGAGAGAGUCAAGGAGGAUCAGCAAGAUGGAGCUGGGCCUGAGAGCCUUUGCAGAUGAUGUUGUGCUCUUCUUAGAAAAUCCAAUGGACAAGAUUGAAAGGCUUUUUGAUAAAAUACAACAAUUUGGCCAAUUGGCUGGAUUUUAUAUAAAUAAGACUAAAACAAAAGUUUUGACUAAAAAUAUGGAUCAGAAAUCCAAGGACAGAUUCUCCGAAAUAAGCAAAAGAAAACUAUACAGAGAAUACAUACCAGACAAUUUUUCUGUCAAAACCCGUGAGAGGGAAGGAAAAGAGCCACAAAAUGUCUCCAUGCUGCAAAACAGUGACCAGAAAGGAUACUGGAAGUCAUUUCCGGCCACCCAGGAACUGUGGAUAGGCAAAUUUUGCCUAUUUUUAAAACCACAAAUAAAGAAGCUGGAUCUCCAAGACCCAACCACGGAUAUGUGAGACCAUGAUCUGUGAGACCACGAAUAUCGAGGGGCACCUGUACAUACAUUUUUAGAUGUAAAUAUCAGCUAUAGCGAUGUGCACAGAACUGGCAACUGCCGGUUCGAAGGUGGAGGGGGGAUAAAUUUAAGGACUGGGGAGGGUGCUCUCCCCGGCUGCAUUUCCCCUGCUGGUGCUGUCAUUAUAAUUGGUCGCGCGAGGCGGCAGCGUACCUCCUUGCCACCUCGGUAUGUUACAGACCGGAACUGGCCGGAAGUGUCUGCUGCACAUUCACAUGUCACAGCAUGCGCAUGUUGAAACAUGCGCAGCAGACACUUCUGGCCACUUCUGGUCCACAACGCGGGACCACUUUUAAUGACAGCACCGGCGGGGGAAGUAAGUGUGUGUGGGGGGGGUAAGAGCACCCUCUCCAGUCCUUAAAGUUAUCCCCCUCCACCUUUGAACCGGUUUGGAGGUCCAUAAAGGGUCUCCAAACCGGUUCCGUGCUCAUCCCCAAUCAGCUACACUUCUAUCUCUCUACAUGUGUUGGGAAGCUUAAUUUACUAUAGCUGGAAAAUCAUGUCAUUUGCAUGCAUUUUUCUCCAUGGAAGUGUUGUCCAUGUAGACUAAAAGGUUGUUCACACAACCAUGCAAAGCUGGGUAGGAGCGGGAAACCCAUGUUACAGAGGCUUGUGUGGCGCCUUGGGACCCACUCCUACCCAGCUGCUCUGAAGUAGGGCUACCCCAUCCUUUGACCUUGGUUUCUUACCUCUAUGUCCCCAAUUGUGUGUGUGAUCAGGACUGUUUGCAGCAGCUCCUGGCAGCCCAGCUCCUUUUCAGCAACAGAUUGCCCCCUAUAGAGUGGGCCAGGAAGCUGGGAGCUGCUGCAUUGAUGCGGGCAGCCUCUCUGCUGCCCACGCAAUGCAUUGUGAGAUAUUGGAGGACUUCCUCCUCCAGAGAUCUCCGCUGCACUAAGCAUGUGGGUAUGCAGCACAGCAGAGCACUAGACUGCCUAUACUUGUGUGAGGGAAAGUAGGUAUACUCCUGACUUCCCUCCAGCCUUCCCUAGCCCCAGGGAUUUCAGUCGUGUGAAUGAACUUCAUAUGUUCUAUCUGAAGCAGUACCUGCACAUCUAGCAAAAUUUGAUUAUAAAAAGGUUGUAUCCCAAACCCUGCCCUGCAUGAGCCCUAGUCACCUUCUGUUUGCACUACCCAGCAUUCGCUCAAGGGGAGGGUAUGGUUUUUGCUAAAUCUCCCAGUCCCCUGCACUCCUUCCCCAAUCUGCUCCUAACGGUUGGGGGACUCUCAGGAGCAGAUUUUCAGGGGGUGCAGGGAACUGGAAAGGGAGUGGAAAUUUUGCCACACUAUCCCUCUAUGUCCAUUGAAAAACAAUUUCUGAGUGGGCUGUCACAAAAGGUAGGGGGACAAAAGGCUUGUAAAGUGUUUUUAAAAGUAUUUUAAUUGGUUUUAAAUGGUUUUAAUUGUUUUUAUAUUAUUUUUAGCACUGUGUUUUGAACUGUGUGUUUUUAUGUCUUUUUAAAUUUGUUGUACACUGCCCAGAGCCUUUGGAUGGGGCAGUUCAUAAAUGUAAUAAACAAACAAACAAA